rnacentral:ncRNA from 2 species
GGUCACGACACGGGGUGCCGCCCAGAAGGGGGCGGCUGAGAUGAGACCCGUCGAACCUGCUCCGGGUAAUGCCGGCGAAGGGAUGUCCCAUGCUGCAUAU